rnacentral:rRNA from 1 species
UACGUAGGGACCGAGCGUUGUCCGGAAUCAUUGGGCGUAAAGAGCGUGUAGGCGGCCUUUUAAGUCCGCUGUGAAAGCCCUGGGCUCAACCUGGGAAUUGCAGUGGAUACUGGCAAGCUAGAGUGCGGUAGAGGAUGGUGGAAUUCCCGGUGUAGCGGUGAAAUGCGUAGAGAUCGGGAGGAACACCCGUGGCGAAGGCGGCCAUCUGGACCAGCACUGACGCUGAGGCACGAAAGCGUGGGGAGCAAACAGG